GUCAGCGUCCUGCCACUCACCAUGAAGCGGGCUCUGGCUCUGGUGGGCCUGGCCUUCCUCUGUGUGCUCCGGGCUGGGGCCGCUCAGCAGACGGUGGACGAUGCCUGCUCUGUGCAGAUCCUCGUUCCCGGCCUCAAAGGGGAUGCUGGUGAGAAGGGGGACAAAGGCGCCCCAGGACGGCCCGGGAGAGUCGGCCCCACGGGAGAGAAAGGAGACAUGGGCGACAAAGGACAGAAAGGCGGCGUGGGGCGCCACGGGAAGAUCGGCCCCAUUGGUUCCAAAGGUGAAAAAGGAGAUUCUGGUGACAUAGGACCCCCUGGCCCUAACGGAGAGCCAGGCAUCCCGUGCGAGUGCAGCCAGCUGAGGAAGGCCAUCGGGGAGAUGGACAACCAGGUCACCCAGCUCACAGCCGAGCUGAAGUUCAUAAAGAACGCUGUUGCUGGGGUGCGAGAGACGGAGCAGAAGAUGUACCUGCUGGUGAAGGAGGAGAAGCGCUACCUGGACGCGCAGCUGGCCUGCCAGGGCCGGGGCGGCACGCUGAGCAUGCCCAAGGACGAGGCCGCCAACGCGCUGCUGGCCGCCUACAUCACACAGGCCGGCCUGGCCCGCGUCUUCAUCGGCAUCAACGACCUGGAGAGGGAAGGCGCGUUCGUCUACGCGGACCGCUCGCCCAUGCAGACCUUCAGCAAGUGGCGCAGCGGGGAACCCAACAACGCCUACGACGAGGAGGACUGCGUGGAGCUGGUGGCCUCAGGGGGUUGGAACGACGUGGCCUGCCACCUCACCAUGCACUUCCUCUGCGAGUUCGACAAGGAGCACAUGUAG
rnacentral:lncRNA from 1 species